rnacentral:rRNA from 1 species
GAUGAACGCUGGCGGCGUGCCUAAUACAUGCGAGUCGAGCGAACAGACGAGGAGCUUGCUCCUCUGACGUUAGCGGCGGACGGGUGAGUAACUCGUGGAUAACCUACCUAUAAGACUGGGAUAACUUCGGGAAACCGGAGCUAAUACCGGAUAAUAUAUUGAACCGCAUGGUUCAAUAGUGAAAGACGGUUUUGCUGUCACUUAUAGAUGGAUCCGCGCCGCAUUAGCUAGUUGGUAAGGUAACGGCUUACCAAGGCAACGAUGCGUAGCCGACCUGAGAGGGUGAUCGGCCACACUGGAACUGAGACACGGUCCAGACUCCUACGGGAGGCAGCAGUAGGGAAUCUUCCGCAAUGGGCGAAAGCCUGACGGAGCAACGCCGCGUGAGUGAUGAAGGUCUUCGGAUCGUAAAACUCUGUUAUUAGGGAAGAACAAAUGUGUAAGUAACUAUGCACGUCUUGACGGUACCUAAUCAGAAAGCCACGGCUAACUACGUG